ensembl:lncRNA
AUUUGGUUGCAUGAAAAUAUGUUUAGUACUCGAUUAUUAGUCAUUUAUUUAUUUCAUCUGUAAAAGAUCAGAAUUGCCAAUUGCCAGCUUACUAAUUUGUAUGAUAUAUGUGAUCAUAAACACCUUUUAUGCAUUUUUCUGCCAGCAUAUUUCUAAUUUUAUUAUUUUCUUUGUUUAUUGUUAAUUAGUCUACUCAUUUUUGAGACAGGCUCUUACAGCUUAAGGGCCAGUCUCCACUUCACCAGUUUUCUGUUUUAGUUCUCAGGGGCUGAUAUUACUGAUGUUCAUAAUCAUGCCUAGAUUGUUUUAAAAAUUGAACUUACUUUGCUGAUACUGGUAGAGAGUUUAAAUUCAAUCUUCCCCAUUUUCCAUUUGAUUUAUUUUCCAUUUGCAAUGGCUAAUCUUGGUUGUCAACCUGACUGCAUCUGGGAUCCUCUAAAGCUGCUGAUGGGCACCACCUUGAGGGAUUUCCUUUAUCAGAUUAUUUGAAGCAGGGAAGCCCACCUUAAAUCAGGGCAGCACCCUAAAUUAGGUGGCAGCUCAGAAUAAAAAGGAUUUGGGAAAAAGGAAACAUUGCUUUUUGUCUGUUUGUCCUCAGUCUCACUUGUCAACUCCAUCUCUCUUUUCCUACAGAAUUUCUUCACUGGUAUUCAAACCUAAAUGCUUUGGGAUUCCAACAGAAUGAAGAUCAAUGUCUAUCCAGGAUUCCGGUGCCACACUAGGGCUACUGAGAUACUGAGUCUUGUAGAUUGAACAACUGCCAGAAUCUUGGCCUUUCCAUCAUGAAUUAGUCAUUAAUGGACUAUCCAGCUGCUAGACUGCAUCUGGCUCCUGAAAGCACUGAGCUCCACUUCUUCCUAACCCCAUCCAACCCUGCUACCCCAAACACCAGCUCCAAGCUCUGGAGAAGCGCAAGUGUCAAUCACAGCAACACCUGAAUAGAGACCUCUAGGAGGAAUUUCUCAGGCUACACAACCAGCACCUUUGGGCUUUAUAUCCCGCUGACAUAGGUAAUGUUCUUCAGCAACAACACCAACC